AGUGGGGAAUCUUGCGCAAUGGCCGAAAGGCUGACGCAGCGACGCCGCGUGGGGGAUGAAGGUUUUCGGAUCGUAAACCCCUGUUGCCCGGGACGAACGACCCUUUUCGAGGGGUGUGACGGUACCGGGUGAGGAAGCACCGGCUAACUCCGUGCCAGCAGCCGCGGUAAUACGGAGGGUGCGAGCGUUGUCCGGAAUCACUGGGCGUAAAGGGCGCGUAGGCGGCUUGGGAAGUCCGUGGUGAAAGCUCGUCGCUCAACGACGAGUCGGCCAAGGAUACUCCUGAGCUCGAGUCGACUAGAGGCAGAUGGAAUUCCGGGUGUAGCGGUGGAAUGCGUAGAGAUCCGGAAGAACACCGGUGGCGAAGGCGGUCUGCUGGGGUCGAACUGACGCUGAGGCGCGACAGCGUGGGGAGCAAA
rnacentral:rRNA from 1 species